GCCCUUAUCACCCAGAGAGUCAAGGUGCACUGGAACGAUUUCAUCAAACCCUAAAAACCAUGUUGCGCAAAUACUGCCUUGAAUCAGGUGCUCCUCCGUGGUUGGUGCAUCCAGGGUGGAUGGCUCGCACCGAUUGGCUGACGACCGGGAGGCAGCGGAUGAGAAGAGACCACCAGGGACUGCCAUUCAUUCAUCCUCGGCCCAACCCAACCGGCAGACCGUUCACUGUGUCACUGUUACUAUGUUGGUUAAUGUAAGAGCAUGUAGGGGUGGACCGCCUUUUUGUUUGAUCAGUUUUCUCCUGUUUCUGUUAGGUAGGGAGGAAAGUGAUUGUCGUUUGGUUUAGUUCUUUUGAGUAGGUAAGUUGUGUUUAUUCCUGAGAUAGGCUAUCUUUUGUUUGUUGUUUUGGCCUUGGGUUCACCCUGAAGUUAUGAUAUGCUCCCUUCCUUUGUUUAACUGCACUCAUUGUAAAUAAAUCACUGUCACAAA